CAGGGCCACUGGAUGAGAGUGACCCACAUAGGGCAUGUGACUGCCCCCGCAAGGCCAACUGCAUGGAGGAUCAGAGAAGCAAUAAAGAUCUCAACGAACAGAGGUCAUAACUAGGGGAGAAGAGGAUUGCAGAGAUGAGCAGGCUUGUCUGGUUAUUCUUCCCAAAUCUACAAAUUCAAUAAGUCACUUCCCUUCUCCAAGGAAAGACAAAAUGAGAAAAACAUCAAAGAGUUAUCAGAACUGUGCUUAUGGAAAAUCAUCAGGAACAGGUGAAUGUGACUAGAGGCACACCACACAUUCUGCCUUCCUUUUGGAAAGUACCAGGGUUGCAAUCUCUUCAGGGAUCUUCUGUGACAGUCAGCUCUGGAUAUCAAGAUUACAUACUAUUCUUUUCAUUAAAAUUUAG